UUAACCUCAAACAAAUUCUUUUUUUUUUUCACUUUUCCGCAAACUUUGUUACAAACAUACAAUUCUUUAAAUAUAGACUGUAAAACUCCAUUUGCAAAAGUCUGCUAUUGUAAGGAGUGCACACCAGCAGGAAGGAUUCUUAACUUUUUCUAUGAGUUUUCUGUCAGUUUUGCUAGUUAGUGGUAAAUACGGGA